rnacentral:rRNA from 1 species
UACGGAGAGUGCAAGCAUUAAUCGGAAUGAUUGGGCGUAAAGGGCGCGUAGGCUGAGAGGUAAGUCAGAUGUGAAAUUCCGAAGCUCAACUUCGGAGCUGCAUUUGAAACUGCCUAUCUAGAGGGUUGACGGAGAAAACGGAAUUCCACGUGUAGCGGUGAAAUGCGUAGAUAUGUGGAAGAACACCAGUGGCGAAAGCGGUUUUCUAGUUUAUACCUGACGCUGAGGUGCGAAAGCGUGGGGAGCAAACAGG